rnacentral:sRNA from 1 species
GUUUUGUACCAGACAACAGGUGGAGUUGAUAUUAGUUUUGUACCAGAAAACAUGUGGAGUUGAUAUUAGUUUUGUACCAGUCAACAGGUGGAGUUGAUCUUAGUUUUGUACCAGACAACAGGUGGAGUUGAUAUUAGUUUUGUACCAGAAAACAGGUGGAGUUGAUAUUAAUUUGUAAAAAUCCUUUAUAAAAGUGUUGUUUUUUUUAAAUGAGGGCACUCUUUGAUUUCAAGGGAACAUCUGUACAUUUAGUGACUGAAAGCCCUGGACAAGAUGUGUGGAUGCCCGAACUCUUUUCAAGGCUCAAUAUAAAUGAACUUAAUAACAUUAUAACAUGUAAGACCAAGUUAUAGAUGUACAGAAACAAUAAGAGAGUUGUGAAUGAAAUAUCAUUUCUCUUAUAUUUUCUUACAUUUAAUAUGCAGAUAUUGUUGAAAAUGUGGAAGCUCCUUUAGGGGAGAGGCUCUGUGCGACUGAAACAUCUUACACCGUCGUAGGACCGGCCCUGGUAAUCUACUGGAAGUGAAAGUGAUAGUUGGCUAACUGAAUAGGGUCACAGAUUUGCUACUAAAUCUGUUGACGACAAAGAUAAUACAUUACAUCUAACAAGGGGACUAGCAUUCGCUGACCUUGAUGUGGAUUAUCAUUUCGUGUAAGAAAUCGACGACAAAGUUUUGGAUACAUCCAAC